rnacentral:lncRNA from 10 species
CAGGGUCUUGUUCUGUUGCCCAGGCUGGAAUGUAGUAGUGCGAUCAUAGGUUAUUGCAGUCUUGAACACCUGGGCUCACUUCUGCCUCCCAAGUAGCUGGGACUAUAGCUUUGCAACACCAUCCCUGGCUAAUUCUUUUUUCUUUUUAGAGAUGGGGUCACUAUGUUGGCCAGGCUGGUCCCAAACUCCUGACCUCAAAUGAUUCUCCUGCCUUGGCCUCCCAAAGCACUAGGAUUCCAGGUGUAAGCCACUAUGCCCAGCCCGUAUUAGUUCUUCUUCAUCUUGCCAUCAUGUCUUCACAGUUACCUCUUCCCCACCCCUUGCAUCCCUUGAGGGACUUCUAUAUCUUUAGACAUUAAUUCAAGUUCAGAUCUAAUAACUAUAGGAUUUGUCCUCUCAAAGUCAGAGUUAGGCAGCUCUGCAAAUGAAUAUGGCAGGCAUGCUGACCAUUUAUACCCUCUUCUAUUUCCCAGCACAAAUGCCCAGUACCUGAUGGAUACCCAGGAAAUGUUUGUGGAACAAAUGAAUAAACUUACAUUCUAUCUUCAUCUUUCACUGCUUUCCUAAUAUGUAAACUCACGGCACAUUAAAACGGAACUAUUCUCUAUUUUCCUCUCUGAAGAUAGGUCGUAAUCCAUAGUCAUCUUUGGAUCUCAAGCUUCUAGCACACAUUAGGUUUUCUUUUAUUUUUAUUUUUUGAGACGGAGUCUCACUCUGUCGCCCAGGCUGGAGUGCAGUGAUCUCUGCUCACUGAAACCUCUGCCUCCCGGGUUCAAAUGAUUCUCCUGCCUCAGCCUCCUGAGUAGCUGGGAUUACAGGUGAGCACCACCACCUCCAGCUAAUUUUUUUAUUUUUAGUAGAGACAGGUUUUCACCAUGUUGGUCAGGCUGGUCUCCAACCCCUGACCUCAUGAUCCGCCCGCCUCAGCCUACCAAAGUGCUGGGAUUACAGGCGUGAGCCACUGCUCCUGGCAGUCUUUUUCUUUUCUUUUUUUUUUUUUAAACAGAGUUUUGUUCUGUUGCCCAGAACGGAAUGCAGUGGUGUGAUCUCAGCUCACUGCAACCUCCGGCUCGCGAGUUCAAGCGAUUCUCCUGCCUCCGCCUCCCGAGUAGCUGGGAUUACAGGCGCGUACCACCACAUCUGGCUAAUUUUUGUAUUUUUUAGUAGAGAUGGGGUUUCACCAUGUUGGCCAAACUGGUCUCGAAC